CUAAUGUAACUCAGUGACUAUUUGCAAGCAUUUUGCCAAAAGGCUUCCCCUCUGUAUUUGUUAGUGUCAUUCUAAGUAGGAGAGGCGUUGAAAUAUGAUAUUAAUUUGUGCUGCACCCCAUUGCUACCAGUUGCUACCUGGGAUAAUUGCUGGUCACCCUGUUCAUUUAGUAGGUAUGGGUGUGUGUUUGUGUGGGGGGUGUUAAUGACAAACCAGACUACUUCCAAUAUCUGGGAAACAGAACAAAUAUAUAUUUUUUUCCUAUCCUUUUUCAAAAUGCAAUUGAAAAUGUGAAUAAUCUGUAAAUGGCUUUUCUUGAUUUCUGAUGUGGCUGUUGUUAUAUUGGCUGUGGCACUUGUCACACCCUUUUCUUAUUUCCAGUGGGUUUGCUUCUUUAGAGAAAACAACAGCAAUUGACUGCUGGAUGUACAGAUUCCACACAAGGAAAGUAGUGGUGAAGAACACAGGUUGAAGACACUUCACUGUAUAAAAGGUACAUUGAAGUGCCUGGGUCUAUCAGCACAGCAUUGCUCUCCAUGGAAUGCCCCUGCAAUUGCUGAUGGGGGCUUCUGAAUAACAACACGUGACCCUGUUGUUAAAGCAUCUGCACUGGCUGCUACAGCUGGGCCAGUUUCAAGGCCCUUGCAUUAAUUUGCAAAGCCCUGAAUAGCUUAGGUCCAGGGUAUCUCAGGAACUUCCAAAAUCCUUAUAUCUCAGCUCAGUCACUGAGAUCAUCUGUAGAAAUGUCACUCACUGGCCAUUGCUUGAGGCUCAUUUGACAGCAGCAAGUAAUAGAGCUUUAAUGUCAUCAAUCCAGCCCUGUGGAAUAAUACUCCGCCAACAGAAAUUCAGUAGGCUUCUUCUGUUUCAACUGCUGAAAACCUUUCUGUUCUGUCAGGUUUAUGUGAGCAGUUCAGAACACCUCUUUCCACAAUGAUUACCUGAUUUCUUAUUUAAACUUUUUAAAAUACGGUUUUUAUUGUAACCUUUUUAUAUGGUUUUUAUUGUAUGGUUCUUUGUAUAGUUGUUGUGAACCACUUUGGUAUUUUUCUGUUGUGAGUUAGCAGUAUUUUCCAUAAAUAAAAUAAAUCAGCGCAAGUGAUCAUGCAACACUGCAUACACCUAGAGCUAGAUCAAGAUGUUUGUGAGCAGAGUCUAAUGUUCAACAUUAAGGAGGGGGACGAUGACACUGGAUUGUAUUCAGAGUGUCCCUUCUGCAAAGGAAAGGGCUUCUUCCAUUUGUGGAAGGGACAGUUGGAAAGGAGAGCUGAUUUUGUCCAAUUCCCCCAUCUACCUGCAGAUCCCUGCAUCAUCUCUCUAAUUGUUCUAGAAGGUUCCUCAGUUUUCUGGAACAGUUUUUCAGAAGCUUGUGCAAAUGAAAGAAGGAAUCACUGAAAAUAGUGUGCAUCCUUUCUGCAGUGUAAGUGCUUGUGAGUGGAGAUAGAAUCUGCUCAAAUGAAUUCUGGACACCAAACUGUGUAUGUGUGCUUGCAGAUCAGAUUUUGCAGUACAAACCACCCCAGCCUCUUGCUAUAAUGCACAUCAGUUUGUGAAAUGGGUCUUUGGGGGGGAGGCAGGGGGUGUAACAAGAACCCCACGUGCACAGAAGGUGUUUUGGAAAAGCAGGAAUAUCCAUGUCACUCGGUGGACUUUUUGUUGAUAUCCCAGACUAUGGAAGGCAGAGUCAAAAAGAGAAGGCUUCUUUAAAAGGAAAAGCCUGUAAAUAUGCAAGAAACCAUUUUGAAAAAGUAUCUCUGUUAAACACUAGAAAGGUCAUCCUGGUCAAUCUGUUUCAUCUGUUUCUUUUCACAUCCAUUAUUGUAAAUCUUUAGGAAGCACUUCAGAAGUGUGUAAUGGAAAUAACAGAGGAGAAAGGUUCUUUAUAGAGGUGUUACAGUAAGAAGAUGAGGGGUAGGUUCUGAUGAUUCACAUCUUGUGUAAUGUGGACUCUAUAGUCUAUCAACUGAGUCAAGUGAUAUACAUACACAAAAGGAACAUUUCCUAUGGUUUUGACAGCUACCUAGCUUGAUAAGAUUAAUCUAAAAUAAAUUCCUGUCUGGUCUCAAUCUAACAGGCACCACUGAAUGCACCAAUAGUAUGAAGUGACACCUAGAAACCUAAUUGCUCAUUUAUAAAUUUACUGUUGGUGACAUUUCUGCCCUUAAACUGCAACCUGGCUUCUCCCCCACCUAGAAUGGUAAUAUGCAUGCCCCUGAAAUCCAUAUAUUAUUAAACAGUGAUACAUCUCAUUUAGUUAAACAUAAAGUUGUAAACUAUAUGAUUCCCAAAUGUCUAAAAUUCCAGUAUUUUAUUCUUAACGUAUCCUAUGAAAAGGUGCUUGCCAAGCGUUUGUAUCAGCCUGGCAGAUGGCUAAAACAGAUUUUAAUGACUGAAGGUAAUGCUAGCUGCAGAAAGUUUAAUGCUGGCUUAAAGAAAAAUCACCAGACUUUUCCAAAGGGAAUGACACACUGUCUGUAAGACUAAAGUUCUGAGGCCCGGGUUAUUCAGGUGUAAAGUGUAAAAUUCACAUGGGGAUCCUCCUCCCCAUUCUGUCCUGUGUUCAGUUAGUAGGGAAGUGAAAGCCAUUGGACUCGAUGGCCCUUGUGGUCUCUUCCAACUCUAUGAUUCUUUGAUUCUAUGAUUCUAUGAUUCAUUCAUAUAUAACACCCUGAGGCACAUCGAGGCAUGCAGAGCCCAUGCAGCACCGAUUUCACGACUUGGUAAAAUUACCCUUAGGAAGAAACUGCAAGCUACUGAGACCAAGUUCACAAGCAGUUUGAGCCAUCUUUUAGAUUUAGGGGACCUAGUCUCAAACGUUUGUUGGGGGAGACCUAGGGUUUGGGGUUUUUUUUGGUGGGAGUUAUUUGUCCUGUCUUCACGCUUUUUAUGAUGGAGGACCGCUGUAGCCACCCCCAACGACAUGUUCUCAAGAUGGAGGGGGAGGGAACAGCUGCAGUCGCCUGCGGUUCCUGCGCAAUGUUUGCCAUCUUGCCAAAGGUUGCAGGCAGCUUUACCUGCAGCAAUUGCAUGUUGAUUGCCCUCUUAGAAGACAAAGUCCAGCAACUGGAGGAACGUGUAGCUACGCUCCAAAGAAUUAGAGAGCUGGAGCUCUUCUUGGAAGCAACAGAGCACACCGUCUCCACCAAGGAGGAGACAGGGGACUCCCUGAGAAGGAGGCUAGUUCACCAACACAGGAGCUAGAUAUAUGGAGAAACGUGACUCAAAGAAGUAGGAGGCCCAGGGUUCGCUCUGAUUGUUUAGAAAUACACAAUCGCUUUGAGGUCCUCUCCCUAGCAUGGAAGACGAAGAGCAGACUCCAUUUGAGGAUCUCUCCCUCAUUACAGUCGAUCAGGUAUAUGAAGACGAGCAGCAAAGUCAGUCCUCAGGGAAUGUGCAGGCGACCUUGGAACGAACAGCUCAUGGAAGAACCCCGACCAAACCUAAGAGGAGGCGUGUAGUGGUGAUAGGGGAUUCCAUACUGAGGGGAACAGAAGCAGUGAUCUGUGGGCCUGACAAGAUGUCUCGGGAAGUGUGCUGUCUCCCUGGGGCUAAGAUCCAAGAUGUAACUGAACGACUGCAAGGAAUCAUAAAACCCACUGACAAAUACCCCUUCCUCUUGGUUCAUGUGGGAACCAAUGACACUGCAAGCAAUAGCCUCCAGAAGAUCAAAAGAGACUACGAGGCUCUGGGCAGGAAAUUGAAGCAAUUAAAUGCUCAAAUUGUCAUCUCAUCUGUCCUCCCAGUUGAACGACAUGGCCCAGGGAGAGAAGGAAAAAUAGUGGAAGUGAACAGCUGGCUUCGCAAAUGGUGUAAACAGGAACGGUUUGGAUUCUUAGAUCACGGACUGCAGUUUCUUGAAGAUGGACUUCUGGCAAGCGAUGGGCUGCACCUCACAACGGUUGGGAGGAAUGUUUUUGCCAAAAAUCUCAGAAACCUCAUCAGGAGGGCUUUAAACUGACUAAUGUGGGGAGGGAGACAGUGCUCCUGAAGGUAGGAGUCUAUCAAUUGAUGAAGAUGAUCAUCCAAAUGUCAUAGACCAAAUGGAGCAAACAGCACGCAGACCUAGUGGUGGGAGGAAAAAAUCCUUAAAUAAGAGUCAAGGGGGAAUGAUUAAUGGACUUCAAUGUCUGUACACUAAUGCGCAAAGCAUGGGAAAUAAACAAGAUGAGCUUGAGCUCUUGGUACAGCAAACUAAAUAUGACAUAAUAGGCAUCACUGAAACCUGGUGGGAUAAGUCCCACGAUUGGAAUGUAAUAAUGGAGGGAUACAAUCUAUUUCAGAGAAACAGACCAGACAAGAAAGGAGGAGGAGUGGCGUUAAAUGUCAGGGAUGUGUAUAACUGUGAAGAGAUCCAAGAUUUAGAACCUCAAAGCCAAAGUGAGAGCAUUUGGGUCAAAAUUAAGGGAGAGAAGAAUAACAGUGACCUCAUUGUGGGAGUUUACUAUAGAUCCCCAAGCCAAACGGAGGACAUAGAAGAUGCCUUCCUGGAACAGAUGGCCAAGCAUGCAAAAGGAAGGGAGAUAGUAGUAAUGGGGGACUUCAAUUACCCGGAUAUUUGUUGGAUGUCAAACUCAGCCAAGAGCAUAAGGUCAAACAGAUUCCUCAAUGGCCUUGCAGACAACUUCAUUGUCCAGAAAGUGGGAGAUGCAACAAGAGGAACAGCCAUUUUAGAUCUGGUCCUAACCAAUGUUGAUGACCUGGUUAGUGGGGUAGAAGUGGAAGGAUCAUUAGGCGCGAGUGAUCAUGCUCUUCUGAAGUUUACUAUACAGCGGAAAGGAGCAGCCAAGCAUACUAGGACUCAAUUUCUUGACUUUAAGAAAGCCGACUUCAUAAAACUUAGGGAAGUGCUGGGUGAGAUCCCAUGGACAGUAAUACUAAAAGGAAAGGGAGUUCAUGAUGGCUGGGAGUUUGUUAAGAGGGAGAUAGUAAAAGCACAACUUCAGGCAAUACCAAUGAGACGGAAACAUGGAAGGUGCCUAAAGAAGCCAGGGUGGCUAUCUAAAGAACUUUUAACUGAGUUAAGAU